UACGUAGGUGGCAAGCGUUGUCCGGAUUUAUUGGGCGUAAAGGGAGCGCAGGCGGUGACUUAAGUCUGAUGUGAAAGCCCACGGCUCAACCGUGGAAGGUCAUUGGAAACUGGGUCACUUGAAUAUAGAAGAGGAAAGUGGAAUUCCAUGUGUAGCGGUGAAAUGCGUAGAUAUAUGGAGGAACACCAGUGGCGAAGGCGACUUUCUGGUCUAUUAUUGACGCUGAGGCUCGAAAGCAUGGGUAGCAAACAGGACUAGAUA
rnacentral:rRNA from 1 species